GGAAUAUUGCGCAAUGGACGAAAGUCUGACGCAGCAACGCCGCGUGAGGGAUGACGGCCUUCGGGUUGUAAACCUCUUUCAAUCGGGACGAAGCGAAAGUGACGGUACCGAUACAAGAAGCACCGGCUAACUAUGUGCCAGCAGCCGCGGUAAUACAUAGGGUGCAAGCGUUGUCCGGAUUUAUUGGGCGUAAAGAGCUCGUAGGCGGUUCAUCACGUCGGAUGUGAAAACUUGGGGCUUAACCCCAAGCCUGCAUCCGAUACGGGUGAACUAGAGAGCAGUAGGGGAGAUUGGAAUUCCUGGUGUAGCGGUGGAAUGCGCAGAUAUCAGGAGGAACACCAGUGGCGAAGGCGGAUCUCUGGGCUGUAUCUGACGCUGAGGAGCGAAAGCGUGGGGAGCAAACAGGAUUAGAUACCCUGGUAGUCCACGCUGUAAACGGUGGGCGCUAGUUGUGGGAGACUUCCACGUCUUCUGCGACGUCGCUAACGCAUUAAGCGCCCCGCCUGGGGAGUACGGCCGCAAGGCUAAAACUCAAAGGAAUUGACGG
rnacentral:rRNA from 1 species